CAGCAGAGACUCUCCUAGGCUGUGUCUUUUGCUCCAAAUCACACUGAGAAGCAGUGACCGACCUGACUUGGAGAAGCUGCUACAUGUUCCAUGAAGCUGCAUCAUCAUCCUCAUAGCAAGGAAAAGGAGCAAGGAGAGUAAACUUUGCAACUGGCGGUCCAAACAGGAGCUCCUAAGGUUCAAAACUCUGAAAAAUGCUCAGUGUGGAGAUUUGAAGCUGUAACAUUUACAUUGGCAAUAUUGAACCCCAUUUUCAAGUUAAUCAUAGUGUGCUAUGGACAGACCUGAAACUAAUUUAAUAAUCCAGCAAGAGUUAAUAAUGAGGAGCUAAGGAGAGGAAGAAGGAAGGAAACAAAAAGAAAAGUCCCCUGAAUUCUGUGAUUUGUAAGUGCAAGGAGCUUAAAAUAGAGUUGUGGCUCUGGGAGAUGAAUGGAUGGUGGUAUGAACUGGAAAAUACGGGCCUUGGAGGAGAAAUGGAGGUAGUACAACUGUUUAAGAUUCAAGUAGAUAGAUGUCUCUUAUUUGGGAAGAAGUCUGAAAUUAGAGGGAAAAAUGAUACUAGAAAUAUGUAUUUUGGAACUAUCAGGACGUUGACAGUAACCAGAUCCAUGGAGAAAAUAAUAAUACACAAAGAAAACUUGCCAGAUGUAGCGAGAAGAAG